rnacentral:rRNA from 1 species
CAUGUUUAACGGCCGCGGUAUUCUAACCGUGCGAAGGUAGCGCAAUCACUUGUCUUUUAAAUGGGGACCUGUAUGAAUGGCAUAACGAGGGCUUAACUGUCUCCUUUUUCAAGUCAAUGAAAUUGAUCUUCCCGUGCAGAAGCGGGAAUAAAACCAUAAGACGAGAAGACCCUAUGGAGCUUUAGACACCAAAGCAGAUCAUGUUAAUAACUCCCUAACACGGGCUUAAACCAAAAGAAAUCCUGCUCUAAUGUCUUUGGUUGGGGCGACCGCGGGGAAACAAAAAUCCCCCGCAUGGAAUGGGAGAAACCCAUAUAUACCUCCUAAAAGUAAGAGUUACCACUCUAGUAAACAGAAUUUCUGACCAAUAGUGAUCCGGCAACGCCGAUCAACGGACCUAGUUACCCUAGGGAUAACAGCGCAAUCCCCUUUUAGAGCCCAUAUCGACAAGGGGGUUUACGACCUCGAUGUUGGAUCAGGACAUCCUAAUGGUGUAGCCGCUAUUAAGGGUUCGUUU